rnacentral:misc_RNA from 1 species
ACAGAGCGAAAUUGACAAAAAAAUAUUGAAAUAAAACAGUUCUUUCUUCCAUUUGAUGACAAAUUACUUGUGUGAGCUGAUUUUCGUGUCAGAAGCAAUCAACGCGGUGAUGAAGUGUAGAUGUGUAGAUGUGGAGUCAAUAAAUAAUAACAAAAUACUUAAUUAACAAACAAAUAACAAAGAAAGAAACAAUAUUGUUUUAAUUGUGUUUAGCAAUAUUGAAAGCAAAGUGGAAAGUUGUACACCAGUGAAAUUUGUUUUUGUAAAUGGAGACAAGUGAGGAAACAGGCGAUAGUCUGGCUCAAGAAAUAAACGCAACAAUAACGUCUGGUGCAACAAGAAUAAUAAUGGCCGAUCUGCACAAUGAAACGAAUGUGCCAGUUAUUGUACCAUACGAGGUUGAAACAAAUUUGCAAAUUCCUACUACGUCAGUGACUGCAAUGCCACUUGGAGCAGACACAACAACAGUAACAACACGAGAUGAAAACACCAACAAUGCAACUGAUGCCGUAAUCGAUCUAUGCAAUACCACCCCCCCGACCGCAUCCACAUCGAAAUCAGCUGCAGCAGCAGCAGCCGCCGCGGCAGCAGUUAUAUGUGUCGAUAGUAGUCCGGAUGAAAGGUCGGCUGAUGCUGAGGACGCUGCAGGACCUUCAGCUACAAUUGAGUGCCCAAUAUGCUUACAAACAUGUAUACAUCCAGCACGUUUGCCAUGUGGGCAUAUAUUUUGUUUCCUAUGCGUGAAAGGCGUGGCCUAUAAAAAUCGUCGUUGUGCUAUGUGUAGACGUGAAAUACCGCCAGAAUUUCUUGAUCAUCCCGAUCUGGUCAAUGGCAUAGAUGAUAUUUGUGCAACAAAAUCCACAGAAGAUGGUUAUCAAUGGUUCUACGAAGGACGUAACGGUUGGUGGCAGUACGAUGAUCGUACCAGUCAGGAUAUUGAGGAGGCUUUUAAGAAAGGUGAAAAAUCCUGCAUCAUAUUAGUAGCUGGCUAUGUGUAUGUCGUCGAUUUGGAGACAAUGGUGCAGCAGCGACAAAAUGAGCCGAGUCGUUGUCGACGCGUUAAACGCGAUUUGGCGACGAUACCGAAAAAAGGUGUCGCUGGUUUACGCAUCGAAGGCAAUACCGUUAUAACCGAUUCGAAUUUCGCUUCACAAAUAUACGAACAACAACAACAAAGCCUAGCACUCGGCCUAGGUGUAGCAAAUACGCCCACAGACUCCACAUCCGAUCUUAGUUUGCCACUCAACUAUUACAGCAUGCGACAUCCAGCUAACGCUAGCGAUUUUAUAUCAACAAUUGCCGCUACCGAUGCAGCUAUACGCAUAGCCAGCGAUAUAAUCGGUUCGACAUUAGCGCAUGCGGAUGAACUUUCACGCAACACAGCUGCAGCAGCAGCAGCCGCAGCCGCUGCUAAUGCUGCUACAACACAACAACAGCAGCUGCAGCAUGGAGACGAUGGAAAUAUUGUACAACAACAUAUAAGUGGCGUAGAUCGUGCCACCCAACUUUUUCUUUCCAUGCAAAGUAUAGUCAAAGAUUGUGUCAUGAGUAUCGUGGAAUUAUAUCAAAUUCUACUCAUACCGAGCUACUCUGUAGAAAACUAAGUAAAGCUGCGAGCGCAAAAAAAAAAACCAAAUUCUUUAAAGCAACAUACCGUUAGUCUUGCAUAAGAAUUACAUAUAUACAUAUACGUGUCCAUCUAUAAAUAUGUUCGAAAUGGCUUAACAACAACAGCUGCUACUUAAAUUCUUUCAAAUACCUAUGUAUUUGUGGAAACUUCGAAAACUCGUUGGAGUUCAUAUUUUGA